CUUCCCCCCCCCCCCCCCUUCUCCUCUCUCUCUCUUUCUGUGCGACUCCCCCCCGACUCACCUUCUGUUCCUCACAACUCACAAGUCCAAUCCGUUCGAAUCUUAUUUCCUCACAAUUUCGCAAACCUUAGGCGCCAUGUCGAGCUUUUCGUGCUGUCCGCCGUUCGAUUCGAGUCAUACGGCGUCUUGUGGAGCUUUCAAGUUUCAAGCUGACCUUUCCUCCCGGGGGCUCUUCUCAUCCACCGUCAUUUCCUCAACUCCGGUUCAUGUACACUUCGAAAUUGGUGUUACCAUGGGUGUGAUAACUUGCCUAGGCCAUAUUGCUGCUGAUAGUGCACACAGUUAUUGUCUCUGUUGUGUAUCCUUCACAAUUAUUGCAUAUCCUUGUGCAGAUAAUUGGAGCAUGUCUUGUGACUAAAAGUGGAUCCCACGUUCAGGCUCAUGCCUCUUUAAUACUGUUAGCCUUAAUCAACAAAGUAUGUGGUUAUAUUAGUUUUCUUCUACUAUUGGAAAAUGCAAUGUCAACAGAAAAGAAAUUAAUGUGCUCGUUUAAUUUGCAUGCUAACAAAAAUUACCAGAAAAUUUGCAGAAAAAGAGAUUAGUGACUGCAUGUGAAGAUUGUCAACAUUAAAGUUGCUCUUUCGGUUGUUGACUGCAGCUGUUACUGUUAGGAUUUACUAUUAGAUUGGUUUGAGUUGUUUUUGGAUUUGUUUAUAUAUAUAUAUAUAUAUUCUACGUGCACUUGUAAGAGUUUAUUGUUGGACUUGUCAUCAUUUAUAAUGUCUACAGCCAUGUUUUUUAAUAGCUUGACUUGUUGGGGUUGACAUGCUUAUAUACUUCCUGCAUCUUUUCUUGA